ACGGGUGAGUAAUGUCUGGGAAACGUGCCUGAUGGAGGGGGAUAACUACUGGAAACGGUAGCUAAUACCGCAUAACGUCGCAAGACCAAAGAGGGGGACCGUUCGGGCCUCUUGCCAUCGGAUGUGCCCAGAUGGGAUUAGCUAGUAGGUGGGGUAACGGCUCACCUAGGCGACGAUCCCUAGCUGGUCUGAGAGGAUGACCAGCCACACUGGAACUGAGACACGGUCCAG
rnacentral:rRNA from 1 species